CGGGCCGGCCAGACGGUCGCGUCGCCCCUUUGGGGGCGCCGAGGAACGUCCGGGCUCCACAGGGCAGGACGGUGGGUAACGCCCACCCGGGGCAACCCGCGAGACAGUGCCACAGAAAGCAGACCGCCCCGAAAGGGGUCAGGGUGAAAGGGUGCGGUAAGAGCGCACCGGGCGCCUGGCGACAGGCGUCGCACGGUAAACCUCGUCCGGAGCAAGGUCAGACAGGAGACGACGACGCUGCCCGCCGAGUCUCCGGGUGGACCGCUGGAGGCGCGCGGUAACGCGCGUCCGAGAGAGAUGGCCGUCACGGCCCGCGGAGCGAUCCGCGGGACGGACAGAACCCGGCGUAUCGGCCGGCCCGUUCC
rnacentral:RNase_P_RNA from 1 species